rnacentral:rRNA from 1 species
AUCGAACGCUGGCGGCAGGCUUAACACAUGCAAGUCGAGCGUGCGGCGGACGGGUGUGUAACGUCUGGGACACUGCCCGAUGGAGGGGGAAAACUACUGGAAACGGUAGUAAAUACCGCAUACCAUCAGAUGUGGCCAGAUGGGAUUAGCUGGUGGGUGGGGUAAUGGUUCACCUGCGCGACGAUCCCUAGCUGGUCUGAGAGGAUGACCAGCCACACUGGAACUGGUACACGGUCCAGACUCCUACGGGAGGCAGCAGUGGGGAAUAUUGCACAAUGGGCGCAAGCCUGAUACAGCCAUGCCGCGUGUGUGAAGAAGGCCUUCGGGUUGUAAAGCACUUUCAGCGAGGAGGCGUUACUCGCAGAAGAAGCACCGGCUAACUCCGUGCCAGCAGCCGCGGUAAUUC